UACGAAGGGGGCUAGCGUUGCUCGGAAUUACUGGGCGUAAAGCGCACGUAGGCGGCUUCUUAAGUCGGUGGUGAAAUCCUGGAGCUCAACUCCAGAACUGCCUUCGAUACUGGGGAGCUCGAGUCCGGGAGAGGUGAGUGGAACUGCGAGUGUAGAGGUGAAAUUCGUAGAUAUUCGCAAGAACACCAGUGGCGAAGGCGGCUCACUGGCCCGGUACUGACGCUGAGGUGCGAAAGCGUGGGGAGCAAACAGG
rnacentral:rRNA from 1 species